rnacentral:rRNA from 1 species
GAUGAACGCUGGCGGCGUGCCUAAUACAUGCAAAUCGAGCGAACAGACGAGGAGCUUGCUCCUUCGACGUUAGCGGCGGACGGGUGAGUAACACGUAGGUAACCUACCUAUAAGACUGGGAUAACUUCGGGAAACCGGAGCUAAUACCGGAUAAUAUUUCGAACCGCAUGGUUCGAUAGUGAAAGAUGGCUUUGCUAUCACUUAUAGAUGGACCUGCGCCGUAUUAGCUAGUUGGUAAGGUAACGGCUUACCAAGGCAACGAUACGUAGCCGACCUGAGAGGGUGAUCGGCCACACUGGAACUGAGACACGGUCCAGACUCCUACGGGAGGCAGCAGUAGGGAAUCUUCCGCAAUGGGCGAAAGCCUGACGGAGCAACGCCGCGUGAGUGAUGAAGGUCUUCGGAUCGUAAAACUCUGUUAUUAGGGAAGAACAAACGUGUAAGUAACUGUGCACGUCUUGACGGUACCUAAUCAGAAAGCCACGGCUAACUACGUG